rnacentral:rRNA from 1 species
GAAUAAGGAUCGGCUAACUCCGUGCCAGCAGCCGCGGUAAUACGGAGGAUCCAAGCGUUAUCCGGAUUUAUUGGGUUUAAAGGGUGCGUAGGCGGCCUAUUAAGUCAGGGGUGAAAGACGGUAGCUUAACUAUCGCAGUGCCUUUGAUACUGAUGGGCUUGAAUGUAGUUGAGGUAGGCGGAAUGUGACAAGUAGCGGUGAAAUGCAUAGAUAUGUCACAGAACACCAAUUGCGAAGGCAGCUUACUAAAGUAUGAUUGACGCUGAGGCACGAAAGCGUGGGGAUCAAACAGGAUUAGAUACCCUGGUAGUCCACGCCCUAAACGAUGAAUACUCGAUGUUGGCGAUAUACAGUCAGCGUCAAAGCGAAAGCGUUAAGUAUUCCACCUGGGGAGUACGCCCGCAAGGGUGAAACUCAAAGGAAUUGACGGGGGCCCGCACAAGCGGAGGAGCAUGUGGUUUAAUUCGAUGAUACGCGAGGAACCUUACCCGGGCUUGAAAGUUAGUGAAUGAUUCAGAGACGAAUCAGUCCUUCGGGACACGAAACUAGGUGCUGCAUGGCUGUCGUCAGCUCGUGCCGUGAGGUGUUGGGUUAAGUCCCGCAACGAGCGCAACCCCUGUGUUUAGUUGCCAGCACGUAAUGGUGGGGACUCUAAACAGACUGCCUAUGCAAAUAGAGAGGAAGGAGGGGACGACGUCAAGUCAUCAUGGCCCUUACGUCCGGGGCUACACACGUGCUACAAUGGGCAGUACAGAGGGCAGCUACCUGGCAACAGGAUGCCAAUCUCAAAAAGCUGUUCACAGUUCGGAUCGGGGUCUGCAACUCGACCCCGUGAAGUUGGAUUCGCUAGUAAUCGCAGAUCAGCAAUGCUGCGGUGAAUACGUUCCCGGGCCUUGUACACACCGCCCGUCAAGCCAUGGAAGCUGGAAGUGCCUGAAGUGCGUAACCGCAAGGAGC